rnacentral:rRNA from 1 species
UGCAAGUCGAACGGCAGCACGGGAGCAAUCCUGGUGGCGAGUGGCGAACGGGUGAGUAAUAUAUCGGAACGUGCCCAGUCGUGGGGGAUAACGUAGAGAAAUUUACGCUAAUACCGCAUACGAUCUACGGAUGAAAGCGGGGGACUCUGCAAAGGGCCUCGCGCGAUUGGAGCGGCUGAUAUCAGAUUAGGUUGUUGGUGAGGUAAAAGCUCACCAAGCCGACGAUCUGUAGCUGGUUUGAGAGAACGACCAGCCACACUGGGACUGAGACACGGCCCAGACUCCUACGGGAGGCAGCAGUGGGGAAUUUUGGACAAUGGGCGAAAGCCUGAUCCAGCAAUGCCGCGUGCAGGAAGAAGGCCUUCGGGUUGUAAACUGCUUUUGUACGGAACGAAAAGGUCUGCCCUAAUACGGCGGGCCCAUGACGGUACCGUAAGAAUAAGCACCGGCUAACUACGUGCCAGCAGCCGCGGUAAUACGUAGGGUGCGAGCGUUAAUCGGAAUUACUGGGCGUAAAGCGUGCGCAGGCGGUGAUGUAAGACAGUUGUGAAAUCCCCGGGCUCAACCUGGGAAUUGCAUCUGUGACUGCAUCGCUAGAGUACGGUAGAGGGGGAUGGAAUUCCGCGUGUAGCAGUGAAAUGCGUAGAUAUGCGGAGGAACACCGAUGGCGAAGGCAAUCCCCUGGACCUGUACUGACGCUCAUGCACGAAAGCGUGGGGAGCAAACAGGAUUAGACACCCUGGUAGUCCACGCCCUAAACGAUGUCAACUGGUUGUUGGGUGCAUUAGUACUCAGUAACGAAGCUAACGCGUGAAGUUGACCGCCUGGGGAGUACGGCCGCAAGGUCGAAACUCAAAGGAAUUGACGGGGACCCGCACAAGCGGUGGAUGAUGUGGUUUAAUUCGAUGCAACGCGAAAACCUUACCUACCUUUGACAUG